rnacentral:rRNA from 2 species
UGCUAUAAUGCAGUCGACGCACUCUCGUUUAGAUUGAAGGAGCUUGCUCCUGAUUGAUAAACAUUUGAGUGAGUGGCGGACGGGUGAGUAACACGUGGGUAACCUGCCCUAAAGUGGGGGAUAACAUUUGGAAACAGAUGCUAAUACCGCAUAAAACCUAACACCGCAUGGUGUAGGGUUGAAAGAUGGUUUCGGCUAUCACUUUAGGAUGGACCCGCGGUGCAUUAGUUAGUUGGUGAGGUAAAGGCUCACCAAGACCGUGAUGCAUAGCCGACCUGAGAGGGUAAUCGGCCACACUGGGACUGAGACACGGCCCAGACUCCUACGGGAGGCAGCAGUAGGGAAUCUUCCACAAUGGACGAAAGUCUGAUGGAGCAACGCCGCGUGAGUGAAGAAGGUUUUCGGAUCGUAAAACUCUGUUGUUGGAGAAGAAUGUAUCUGAUAGUAACUGAUCAGGUAGUGACGGUAUCCAACCAGAAAGCCACGGCUAACUACGUGCCAGCAGCCGCGGUAAUACGUAGGUGGCAAGCGUUGUCCGGAUUUAUUGGGCGUAAAGCGAGCGCAGGCGGUUUCUUAAGUCUGAUGUGAAAGCCUUCGGCUCAACCGAAGAAGUGCAUCGGAAACUGGGAAACUUGAGUGCAGAAGAGGACAGUGGAACUCCAUGUGUAGCGGUGAAAUGCGUAGAUAUAUGGAAGAACACCAGUGGCGAAGGCGGCUGUCUGGUCUGUAACUGACGCUGAGGCUCGAAAGCAUGGGUAGCAAACAGGAUUAGAACCCCUGUGGUAGAAAA